AUUGAACGCUGGCGGCAGGCCUAACACAUGCAAGUCGAGCGGAUGAAGGGUGCUUGCUCCUGGAUUCCGCGGCGGACGGGUGAGUAAUGCCUAGGAAUCUGCCUGGUAGUGGGGGAUAACGUCCGGAAACGGGCGCUAAUACUGCAUACGUCGUGAGGGAGAAAGUGGGGGGUCUUCGGACCUCACGCUAUCAGAUGAGCGUAGGUGGGAUUGGCUAGUUGGUGGGGUAAGGGCCUACCAAGGCGACGAUUGGUAAGUGGUCUGAGUGGAUGAUCAGUCACCUGGGAGGUGGGACGCGGUCCAGGGUCCUGCGGUAGGCAGCAGUGUGGAACAGGAGGCAGUGGGCGAGAACCUGAUCCAGCCGUGGCACGUGUGUGGAGAAGGUGUUCGGAGCGUAAAGCAGGUUAUCGGGGUGUGAAGCGCAGUAGGUUGUGACCUAGCUGGUGUGACGGUACCAGGAGAAUAAGCACCGGCUAACUACGUG
rnacentral:rRNA from 1 species